rnacentral:rRNA from 1 species
CGGGUGAGUAACAUAUCGGAACGUACCGAGCAGUGGGGGAUAACUAAUCGAAAGAUUAGCUAAUACCGCAUAUCUUCUGAGGAAGAAAGCAGGGGACCUUUGGGCCUUGCGCUGUUUGAGCGGCCGAUAUCUGAUUAGCUGGUUGGUGGGGUAAAGGCCUACCAAGGCGACGAUCAGUAGCGGUCUGAGAGGAUGAUCCGCCACACUGGGACUGAGACACGGCCCAGACUCCUACGGGAGGCAGCAGUGGGGAAUUUUGGACAAUGGGGGCAACCCUGAUCCAGCCAUGCCGCGUGUCCGAAGAAAGGGCUUCGGGUUGUAAAGGACUUUUGUCCGGGAAGAAAAGCGCGAUGUUAAUACCAUUGCGUGCUGACGUACCGGAAGAAUA